rnacentral:rRNA from 1 species
UACAGAGGUCCCGAGCGUUGUUCGGAUUCACUGGGCGUAAAGGGUGCGUAGGUGGCAGGGUAAGUUUGAUGUGAAAUCUCCAAGCUUAACUUGGAAACUGCAUUGAAUACUAUCCUGCUCGAGGGUUGGAGGGGGGACUGGAAUUCUCGGUGUAGCAGUGAAAUGCGUAGAUAUCGAGAGGAACACCAAUGGCGAAGGCAGCUCGCUGGGACGUGACUGACGCUGAGACACGAAAGCGUGGGUAGCAAACAGG